ACCCUACGGGAGGCAGCAGUGGGGAAUAUUGCGCGAUGGGGGCAACCCUGACGCAGCAACGCCGCGUGCAGGAAGAAGGUCUUAGGAUUGUAAACUGUUGUCGCAGGGGAAGAAGACAGUGACGGUACCCUGUGAGAAAGUCACGGCUAACUACGUGCCAGCAGCCGCGGUAAUACGUAGGUGACAAGCGUUGUCCGGAUUUACUGGGUGUAAAGGGAGCGUAGACGGUGAGACAAGUCUGAAGUGAA
rnacentral:rRNA from 1 species